rnacentral:lncRNA from 1 species
UGUUAGUGUUUAGGAAAGCUUGAAUGAUGUUUAUGGAUGGAUUCUAGGCACUUGGUUUGAUUUAAAAGGUUCAAAACUUGAAAAUGGGAUCUCUGUUUUUGAAGGAAGAACUCAGUUUUGCAGCAGGGUGUUUUGGAUAUUCAAGCUUGGUUUCAGAGUGGAAAACCUUCCCCUAUUUAUAGGGAAGGUGUUGGGACUGUUAGGUGAAAGAAUGGGAAUGGUUUUAUCAUAAAUCACAAGUGAUAUGAAGCAUGAUUGAGAAUUAGAUUUUUG